AACAAUAGCUCAACAAUUUUGUCUUCAGCGUCUAUAUUUUUGGUUUGGUGAAAUAUGUUCUAUUCACCAACCUGGAUUAUUAGUUCCAUUUAUCACAAAGCAAGUUUUUAGACCUCAUGGUUUCAGAGAAGCUCAGAAGAAAACUGAAUAGCACUUGUCAUAGUUGUGAUAAAGCUUCUGUUGACUUACCUCUCCUACUGCACCCUGCCUCUCAUGUAUUCUGCAGUUUGUGAAAAGUCUCUACAGCCCACCUGGUGUUUAUAAUAAAUGUUAACUAGGAAUGUU